CUCUGUGAGGCGGAUGGGUUGGUCCAGCUCUGACCCUCCAUCAUCUUACACCUCUCUACCACGCUCAGAACCCACUCCACUUGGCAGAGGUGAAUGUGCCAAUGCCUCUAGAAUGCCAGGCACCCUAAAAUUCCAGGCCUGCCAGACACCCCGAAUUUCAAGGCGCAGCCCUGGUCCCCCAAGGCUUUGACAGCCAGGAAGAGGAGACAGGAGCCUGGAGCUUGGCUCUUUUUCCUUGGCAAAUUCUGGGGCACAGGACAGAAAGCGGAAAUAGGAAGAGACCACACCAUCCAAGCUGAGGCUUUGGGACCAAAAGGGACCCUGGGAAUCUCGAGGUCCAACUGUCUACACUUUAUGGAUGGAGACACUCGGGCCGAGAAGGGAGAAGUGAGGUCGCCCAGUGAUGUAGGAGCAGAGCAAGCACCGGGCACCGGUCCCCGGCUCGCCCAUCCCACCAGGCUGGCCCCUACUGCAGGAUUUUUGCUGUGAAAACCAGUGUUCUGACAUCAGAAGGCACAUCCUCUGCAAAUGUAGAUUUCUGAGCAAACACGCCCGUGAGAAGCUCCUGGUUGGCGAAUCAGAUAAUUCAUCACUUGAUUCUGGUGACCUCUAGUGGACGCACUUUAAAAGCAAUAUUCAGGUCUCAAGUAAAGGGACAGAGCUCAGACAAGUGUCCCGGAAGCAGUUUAUCCAGAGCUGGGCUUCUCAGACUCUCAGGUGCCUGCCAAAGAUCUGGGAAGAUUAGGAACCCGCGGCGUCCGGCCCCGGUAGGCCUGGUGAGUUGGAGACUCUGCCUUGUAACCCGCUCCCAGGUGCCGGCCGCGCUGCAGGUACUGAGAGCGCAGGUCCGAGGCCGGAGGAGACGCAGAGCUCAGAGCCACCUGCUGCUGAGCCACUGCCUGCGGGAGGCGCUCCCACGGACUAGCUCACUGCCCCGAAGUCAGAGGAAGGGCGGAGAUGUGACGCGCCCGAGGACACACAGCUGGCUAGGGCAGGAUUUUCACCGAGGACCUUGAAAAGCCAGCAGCCCCCACAUCCACAGUCACAUGUUAGAAAAUCCCGGGGACAGCACACUACAGUUUAUACAGAGCUUUGCACCUGCAUCACCAUCACCUGGCUACAUAAUUUGUGGGCCUAGUGGAAAAUAAAAAUUUGGGUCCCCUUGUCCCAAAAGCAGGGUACAUUACAGUUAAAGGAAUUAAAUAUGAAGUUUUCCCUUUAGAAUAUUUUAUUACGUGUACACUCUAAUAGGGACAACGGUGACAUGUGAGUGAGAACACAAACUUUAAAAUUGUAAAAAUAAUAUUUUUG
rnacentral:lncRNA from 1 species